CGAAAGCCUGACGGAGCAACGCCGCGUGUGGGAAGAAGGCUCUUGGGCUGUCAACCACUUUUCUCAGGGAAGAAGUCCUGACGGUACCUGAGGAAUCAGCCUCGGCUAACUCCGUGCCAGCAGCCGCGGUAAUACGGAGGAGGCAAGCGUUAUCCGGAAUUAUUGGGCGUAAAGCGUCCGCAGGGGGCGCAUCAAGUCUGCUGUUAAAGGUCGGAGCUAAACUCCGGUAGAGCAGUGGAAACUGGGGAGCUAGAGGGCGGCAGGGGCAGAAGGAAUUCCCGGUGUAGCGGUGAAAUGCGUAGAGAUCGAGAAGAACACCGGUGGCGAAAGCGCUCUACUGGGUCGCACCUGACCCUCAGGGACGAAAGCUAAGGUAGCG
rnacentral:rRNA from 1 species